CCUAGGUGCAAUGCCAUGUUCUCAUAGUGAAGUUUAUGAUAGUGAAUUUUUAUCUUUCAGGAUCCAGGUUUCAAAAAACCCCAAAAGUGGUCUUUCAAGAGUAUGAGAAGAUGUGUGUGGAGCUGGGAAAUUAGAUGCAGACUGACCUUUUGCUCCAAAAUUUAAAAUCAAAAUGCAGCUCCUCUCUGUGGACACGGAUGGAUCCAGAAUGGAAGAUAAGCUUUAACACUGACCGGUGCACCUGUGUGUUGUGAUGCUUCAACACCUCUGCAAUGGUGGUGUCUUCACAUUUUGGAUGAAGUUCUGCACCCAUGCCUGGUUAUAAGUAACUCUCCUUCCCCUUGCUUUGCUGAAGUCUCUCAUUCAUCGUAUCAGCUGUAGGAAGCUAUUACUCCUUGUUUACAACUAAAACAACACUGAACAAGUUUCCCAAGGACUGUCACCUGCCUUGGCUAGGAACCUUGUGCUCAGUCUGUACAAUAUGUAGGAUGAGAAGGACUUAGUCUGUGUUUGGAACUCAAAUGGCUUCUGCUUUACACCAGUAGAUUUGUACCUACAGGAGGCACCUACAACUCUGUGCUGCAGGAAUGUGUUAGUAUUUUUCAUAUCUGCGGUGAAAAACCUUCUCUGCAUGUAGUUGAACCUAAAUAUCAUCCAGUCUUUGGGGACUAUCAGAUAGUGACUGUUUGCAUAUUGUUUGUACAAUAUGCUACAUAAUAAACAAAAAUAUUUAUUAAUAUUUGGGAGAAUC
rnacentral:lncRNA from 1 species